rnacentral:snRNA from 1 species
GUGCUCACUUCGGCAGCACAUAUAUUAAAAUUGGGAUGAUACAGAGAAGAUUAGCAUGGCCCCUGCUCAAGGAUGACAUGCAAAUUCAUGAAAUGUUCCAUAUUUUU